rnacentral:rRNA from 1 species
UACGUAGGGUGCGAGCGUUAAUCGGAAUUACUGGGCGUAAAGCGUGCGCAGGCGGUUCGUUGUGUCGGCGGUGAAAGCCCCGGGCUCAACCUGGGAAUGGCCGUUGAAACUGGCGAACUGGAGUGUGGCAGAGGGGGGUGGAAUUCCGCGUGUAGCAGUGAAAUGCGUAGAGAUGCGGAGGAACACCGAUGGCGAAGGCAGCCCCCUGGGC